rnacentral:lncRNA from 1 species
UGGUUUUAAAAAUUAGAAUAUUUACAGAAUGUUAUACAAAAUAGAAAAUCUUUAUACCUUAGAAGAUCUUCAUGGUGUCUUGGAUAGAUCACUGACAAGUAAUACUUACGCAGAUCACUUCCUCCCCAAGGCUUCAGCCUGCCAAUGGAAAGAGGUUUUGGUAUCAGGAUGACACCAAAAGCAAUGGCAACAAAAGCCAAAAUUGACAAAUGGAAUCUAAUUAAACUAAAGAGCUUCUGCACAGCAAAAGAAACUAUCAUCAGAGUGAACAGGCAACCUACAGAAUGGGAGAAAAUUCCUGCAAUCUAUCCAUCUGACAACGGGCUAAUAUCCAGAAUCUACAAGGAACUUAAACAAAUUUACAAGAAAAAAGCAAACAACCCCAUCAAAAAAUAGCCAUAAGUGGAAGCAGC